GACGAACGCUGGCGGCGUGCUUAACACAUGCAAGUCGAACGGAAAGGCCCUGCUUUUGUGGGGUGCUCGAGUGGCGAACGGGUGUGUAACACGUGAGUCACCUUCCCUUUACUUUGGGAUAUCUUCAGGAAACUGCGGCUAAUACCUGCUAGGAGCUCCUGCUGCUUGGUGGUGGUUGGACAGUUUCGGCGGUUGGGGAUGGACUCGCGGCUUAUCAGCUUGUUGGUUGGGUAGUGGCUUACCAUGGCUUUGGCGGGUAGCCGGCCUGAGUGGGUGACCGGCGACAAUGGGACUGAGGGACGGCCCAGAGUCGAACGGGAGGCAGCAGGGGGGAAUAUUGCACAAUGGGGGGAAGCGUGAUGCAGCAACGCCGCGAGCGGGAUGAAGGCCAUCGGGUGGGAAACCGCAUUAGCCUGUGACGAAGCGGGAGUGACGGUAAUGAGAAAAGAAGCACCGGCUAACUACGUG
rnacentral:rRNA from 1 species